GUGAUGGACCGCAAUGGAGGUCGAGUCAAGAGUUGCUCGGGAAGCCCUCAGAGUUUGGGGCUUCAAGGAGGCCUGUCAAAGGACAAAAGAUGAGAUCGCUGGGCGGCAGGGUGUCCCAAAGGGUCCUAGAAACUGCGCCUCCGCGAUUCCUGUUAACUUGCCGCCAAGUUUUUCUAGAGGAGUCGCUCCUCUUGGCAGGGUGGAGCCUCGCUUCCUACCCAGCACUUCUUUGUGUGCCGGGUUUCUGUUCCGGGCUUUUCCAGCUGCUUAGGAGCUGAGGGGGCAGUGCGGUGGCUGGCCGGGGAGGAGCGGGUGGGCCGGAGUGUAGAACAGAGAGAGGUGGGGCGCGCUGGCGACUCUGAGGCGGCCAGGCUGGGGGCGCCGUAGAGUACCGCCCCGAACUGCCUCCCCCUCUGGAGCCUGGCCCCUAGAGGCUGAGAUGCUUCUCACCAAGGGGCGCUCCGAGUAAGCCAUAGAGCUCUUCCCUGCCGACCCAACUUUACUCAACUUUGAUCUUCAAAAACAUCUAGGAUAUGUAUUGAUAUAAUGCAGUAUGUGAUUGGUUUUUUUUUUGUCCCAAAUACAAGCAAACUAAUAAUGUUAGUAAGUUUUAGAAUAGGGUAAGUUCGCAUGUUGAGUCAUGUGGUGGUUUUCUUUUAAGGUUUAAAUUUGGAUAACCUGCUAGUGCUUACGAGAUUUUACCAAAAGCAUUCUUUUACUGAGCUUUGCUGCUGUGCAGUUAUGAUGAAACAUGAAGAUGCCAGAAUUGUACCUCACGAUAAGGCUUUAAUUGCCAGAAGGUUCUGAAAGUGCAACAGUAAUUCUAGGUUUAGAUAUAUUAAUUUGAGUUAGUUCUCUUGCAGGGUGCCCUAUAGGUUUUGUCAUCGGGUGAAACAGGAACAAAUGUAGGUCUGCUGGGGUCUUGGCACAGUACCACAUGGACCUGGACAAAAGCAUUGUUAAGAUAGAGAAAUGAGGCAAAGAGGGAUUAAGAUCUUUGCCCCUGGUCCCAAAGUUAGAGCCGUGUACUAGAGGCUUUCCUUCCAUUAACUGAAGACUUAGGUAGAAGAAGUAUGAGAUUGGAACUCAGACCUGGACUCUUGUCCUGCCUACUCUGCUUUGUGAAUUAGGGCAAGUCAUUUAACCUCUCUGAAUUUCAUUUUCCUCUGCUGUAACAGAUGAACACUUUGAACUAUUAUACUUUAUUGAAUCCUGGGUCAUCAAAAAUCCUUAAAAGGGUGCCUUCACCAUUAUCUGCUGGAUUUUCUUCCAAGCCCCUGACACUCAUUCCAUAAGUUUUGAUGCACACAUGCUAGCAGUGACAACUCUAUUGCUGCCUGGUCUGACCACACUGUAAGAUGUGGCUGAUUUCAGAGAUGUCAGAAUGUAAAAUACUGUGCAUCUUGGAAUUGAUGACAGACCAUAGGUGAUCUCUGAGCUCCUUUUCAACCUCCGUUCUAUGACAUCUGUGACUUAAUAACAUUUUAUUGCUGGUUUAUGUAUUUUUUAAUGUAAAUGAUUCAAGAUAAAACGUAAGCUUCUUGCUAGUGGAAAAGUAAGAAUCAUUUCUGUCUUUUUCACCUCUGAAUCCCCAAUAGCUAGAACAAUGCCUAGCAUGUAGUAAAUGCUCAAUAUAUAUUUACUGAAUGAAUUAAGCAAAUCUUCAUUUCAUAUUGCAAAUACAACUUUUAAAAAAAUUGUGUUCUACUUGAAGUUGACGUAAAAUAUAAUAGUAUCAACAGUGCAAAAAUAUUUUGCUAACAUUUUUUUGAAUGCAAAAGUGCACUGUUAAAAAACAGUGGUGUUUCUUUCCAAACAUCUUUUCUGCUUACUGUUGUUGAUUGUCAUCAAAUGUGGAGUACAUUUAAAAAAAUUUUUUUAAAAACUUUAUUGAAGUGUAGUUGAUUCACAGUGUUGUGUUAAUUUGUAGUAUGUUUUGGUCCUUGAAGAGGAUGAUAAAAAUUGAAAUGCCAACAUAGAGACUUUUUAAAAAGGAAUCACAGAGAUCUUCAAUUUAACGAAAGUUGGAAAAUGUUAUUUCAUAUCUUUAUUAACUUUUUAUGAGUAUUCUGGAGGUG